UUACGGCCAUAGCGCGUUGAAACACCUAUGUUCGUUCGAUCACCGAAGUUAAGCAACGUCAAGCGCGGUCAGUAACUAGAUGGUUGAUCACUUGGGAAUACUA